AAGUGUCUGUCAUCUGUGUGUGGAAGUGUCCUUCAUACAACAACUCUCAUUUUAAGAUCUUAAAAAAUUUGAACACAUUCAGACCAUCAUUAACUCUCAAAAUAUACUCAAGGAGUGAGUACUAGAGAGGCAAUUACUGUUCAUUGUAGCUGUUCUUACUUAUAUCACAAGUGUUCUUGUAUUUCAGGGUACCACCAGGAGUCCAGGUUCCCUUGCUCCUGCUCCAGAGCUUCAUUCACCAAAUAUGAGGUCACUCUCACAGGAAACAAGUCCGUCAUCUAAAGCUCCAAAGAUCAAUGAGGUGGUGCUUAUAACAUUAUUCGAAUUCCCAGAUCUCCAUCCAGGCAUGAAAACACAUGUUCUCCAUAGCUUCAGUGAUAAUAUGUAAAAGAUGUACAAAGUCAAGAGAAGAUGUGCAAAGUAAGUCACGACAGAAAGAAAGUAACUCUGAAAUUACAAGGUCCAGAAAUUUUACAUUUUCAUCUUUAUGACACUGAAUUAUGAGAAGCAUGCUUAAAAUACAAUUAAGCAAAGUUAAAUACAUGGUAGAUUCUACUGUCUUCCCUACAGGGCAGAGUCAGUGAAAGGAACUGAUUAAAAUGUUAACCCUUCUGAUUGAUUCAAGAGUUGAUGACACUAUGUCUACCCAAAUGAGUUUGAAAGCACUUGACUAGCCCAAUCCAUAUAUUGGAUGAUAGAACUUGUUUUGUAAGUGACGAAAAGAAAGAUUGGUUAUUUUACGUAAAUCAACAUCACUAUGGGACUUAUCAGGUUUUUAAAAUGACACUUAGAGCCCCAUGGAGGCAGCAGCACUUCACAUCCUCCCUCAGACACACCUCAUCCGGCACUCCCAGGCUCGCUGCACUUGGAAAAGCUGAUGAUCCUGUGAGCAGAAAUUCGCAGAACAUGCUCUUGGCCUUCUGCUCUCAGCUGAACCUGGCUCAUUUAUUCAGCUGGUAUUGCGAGUUUGGGGGCA
rnacentral:lncRNA from 1 species